UACGAAGGAUGCGAGCGUUAUCCGGAUUUAUUGGGUUUAAAGGGUGCGUAGGCGGCCUUAUAAGUCAGUGGUGAAAUCCUAUCGCUUAACGAUAGACGUGCCAUUGAUACUGUAGGGCUUGAGUACAGAUGCCGUUGGCGGAAUGUGUCAUGUAGCGGUGAAAUGCAUAGAUAUGACACAGAACACCGAUUGCGAAGGCAGCUGACGAAACUGUAACUGACACUGAGGCACGAAAGCGUGGGGAUCAAACAGG
rnacentral:rRNA from 1 species